rnacentral:tRNA from 1 species
GGGGUCGUAGUCUAGAAUGGUAGGAUGCUGCGUUCGGGACGCAGAGAUCGCGUGUUCAAAUCACGCCGAUCCCA